rnacentral:tRNA from 1 species
GCCCUUGUAGCUCAGCGGGAACAGAGCGCCGCACUACGAAUGCGGAGGUCCCAGGUUCGAGUCCUGGCAGGGGCGC